CUUCUGUCUUGAGCCAGUCACUAGCAACUCACCGAUUAUUGUCUCAUUUCUGCUUAAAACUGACUUUAGAAUGAUUUAAGAGAUUUUACUUUGUCAUCUGAUGGUUAAUAAUCACAUUAUUCCCUUUGAUCACUAUGAGUGUAGAAAGUCAGUCUCAGAUGUACUGUUGAGGCCCAAAAUGACGCAUGCGCAGUGAAGGCAGGGCAGACCAAUUUUUAGGGAGCCCCGUUUG